GACGAACGCUGGCGGCGUGCCUAAUACAUGCAAGUCGAGCGGAAGUUGGAGAGCUUGCUCUUCAACUUUAGCGGCGGACGGGUGAGUAACACGUGGGCAACCUGCCCUGCAGAUCGGGAUAACUCCGGGAAACCGGUGCUAAUACCGAAUAGUUUUCGCCACCUCCUGGUGGCGUACGGAAAGACGGUUUCGGCUGUCACUGCAGGAUGGGCCCGCGGCGCAUUAGCUAGUUGGUAGGGUAACGGCCCACCAAGGCGACGAUGCGUAGCCGACCUGAGAGGGUGAGCGGCCACACUGGGACUGAGACACGGCCCAGACUCCUACGGGAGGCAGCAGUAGGGAAUCUUCCGCAAUGGACGAAAGUCUGACGGAGCAACGCCGCGUGAGUGACGAAGGUUUUCGGAUCGUAAAACUCUGUUGUGAGGGAAGAACAAGUACCAACUAACUACUGGUACCUUGACGGUACCUCACCAGAAAGCCACGGCUAACUACGUGCCAGCCGCCGCAGUAAAAC
rnacentral:rRNA from 1 species